GCAAUAGGCAAAAACCACCUGGGCGGCAUCAUGUCAUGCUGUUUGGCUGUAUCACAGUUUAGAUGGCCCUCAUCGAGCAAAUUCCGAGUAAGGCAAACUGAACAAGAACGAAAAUAAGCAGCGGGCAGUGUACUUGGUGGACACAGAGAGUUCCAUCUCGAACUCCCUGUCCAUAGAUAGCUUCUGGUCCUCUCAACAUGGCAGCAUCAGCUCACAGGUAUCUGUACAGCGAAGUUAAGCAUCCAGUAUAUCUUCGACGAGCGCUGCAGCUGUCGGUAGCUUGGAUUUGGUCCCUGCUAUGCCAUUGUGGGUGAUGUAUAAUAUGUUGUAAGUCUAUCAGUCAUUCAGUUGUAGCAGUUUCUGUAUGGCGUGAACUCAAAACCUGUUAUAGUUCCACUGUGUGCUAUUUAUUCGGCCAUGAACAUGAACAUGCCUAUUUCUGGUGCAGAGGGACUUGUACCGGUAGUCCAUGGCAUUUGAUAUUUGAUAUAUAUGGCAAUGCCUUAUGAAGGCCAGCAAUAGUGCCAUAAAAACAGCUAUAAAUAAACCUGAAUAAUAAGCACGUCUUCAGGGACAACUUUACCCGAAUUAAACCACAAUUUAAUUUAUAUGAACUAUUGGCAACUUAAAUAGAAGUAUUCAUUUUCCUGUAACAAUAAAAGUACAAUGUUCUUUAUCUUGACAUGAGUAGCUAACACCAUUGAAGUUUAACCACAUCUCCUAUUGAACAUGUGCCCGUAUACCACAGCUACUGUAAAGAGAAGAAAAAGUUUUGAUUCUUCCAUGUUUUCAUUAAUCAGGAAGCUGGAAUACAAGGAUUCAACCUUACAUCUCCUGUCCCUUAUUGCUUUUCUUUAGAUGCAUUCCUUUUGCUUUGAGCAAAAUGUGUAUUCUUUCCUUGUUAUACUAACCCAGGCAUCUUUUGCCCCCCUAUAAGACAGUUGCGACGAACUUGUGUUGCUCCAUGCUACACCCCAUUGUUUAAAGAUAGGAUUCCACCACAGGUGCCUCUUCUGGUGAUUACUUCGAACAGACUACCAAGAGGGACAUGGUCGUCUCUUGCCAUCUGCAAAAAUAUAUCACCCAGGAAUUGAUAAGAAAUACGCGUACGUAAAUAUAUUUCGGGAACUGUUUCUCUUCUCUCACAAGAGCGUUAAGGAGUUCAAGUGCAUUUCCCAGGGCAGUCAGAGCAUUCCCACCAGAGCUAGCCAUCAGAUGGCAGGCCAUACGUCAACAACAACAGCUAGUUCAUCGGGAGGAAUGGACAAACGGCUCAUGAAAGCAGCCACAUCUGGUGCGUCCACGUCAAUGUAUGCCAUGGCUGCACUGGAUCGAAGCAUUCUUCUUGGAACAACUCCGCAAGGAAACACCUGCCUUCACAUUUCCUGCAUUUAUGGCCAUGAGGGAUUCUGCAAGGACGUGCUUGAACUGGAAGAGUCUCUCAUCAAGGCUGUAAACUUGGACGGGGAGACACCACUUAUUACCGCAGUGAGAAAUGGCCACGUCUCUUUGGCUUCUUUUUUACUCGCUCAGCACUGCUCUGUGCUAGGAUCGAGGCAGCCAAUCCUGCAACAGGACAAGUACGGAUUUAAUGCACUGCACCAUGCCAUUUGUAGCGGCCACAAGGAUCUUUCACUGGAAUUGGUAACAGCAGA